CCGGAGCAUGCCGAAAAUCCGUGAAAGAGUAGGCA
rfam:Chitinophaga jiangningensis strain DSM 27406 genome assembly, contig: Ga0131168_101